rnacentral:misc_RNA from 1 species
AACCAUAGAAACCUGCGGAGUACCUGCGGAGGGAUCAUUACAGAGUUGCAAAACUCCCUAAACCAUUGUGAACGUUACCUAAACCGUUGCUUCGGCGGGCGGCCCGGGUCCUUCCCGGCGCCCAUCGGCCCUCGCGGGCGCCCGCCGGAGGUAAACCAAACUAUUGCAUUGUAUGGCCUCUCUGAGUCUCCUGUACUGAAUAAGUCAAAACUUUUAACAAUGGAUCUCAGAUCGGAAGAG